UUGGAUUAGCUAUACAGAGGGGAAGGUUGUGUGUGCAGUGUGCAGUGAUCGUCUCUAGAAUCUGCAUUCUAUAAGGCAAGAAGAUAAGAUGCACACGACAAGAGUUGUUGAGCCGUCCAUUUGAGUUUUUUCUCCUCUGUACACCCCCUAUCACACACACAACACACUCCUACUCUCUCUUUGCGGCCGGUCUCUGCUUUCAGAUUCAUUUCUAACCAGGGUUCCUCCAGCCCAGCCGCCGCCACUGUUGAGGAGCUCACAUCGCCUCGACACAACACGGUCUCUGGUUUCAACGUAUAAUAACUGGGCUGCGAGCACUAUAUGGAUGAUGGCUUCACGAGGCACCAGUGCCGUGCUUUCAAGGGCUGCUCGGAUGAGGCAAAAACUGCAGUCUGCCUUGGAGGCCAGUGCCCUAGAUAUUGAAGACGUUUCUUACCAACAUGCCGGGCAUGCAGCCGUCAAGGACAAUGCGAACGAGACGCACUUCAACAUCAAGGUUGUUUCACCAAAAUUUGAGGGGCAGAACCUUGUGAAGCGUCACAGGAUGGUGUAUGAUCUUCUGAGGGAUGAGCUUAGCUCAGGCCUCCAUGCUGUCUCCAUUGUUGCGAAAACCCCGAAAGAGUUAGGGUCUUGAUUGUAUAACAAUGUUGAAUAAGCACUGUCCUAUGUUUCGAAAUAAGUCUGUCGUAGCAGCCAUGACACUGAUUGCCAAAACAAUGUCACCGGCAUGCUCUUCUUAUUAAGAUCUGGCUGCGGAGCCAGUUUACCUGCAUUUGCUAUGUGGACUUUCUGAGCUGAAAGGGAAGCAGAAUAUGGGAGGAAAAUCGUUGCCAGCCAUGAGCCAUGUCGCUGUUGUACUUGCAUCGUUGGGUGGGCAAAACGCAAAACAUGUGAAAUUUUUUUAAAAAAACCUUUGCCCCCA